rfam:Ictidomys tridecemlineatus contig074010, whole genome shotgun sequence.
GGGGUUGUGGCUCAGCAGUAGAGCACUCGCCUCUUACGUGUGAGAACCUGGGUUCGAUCCUCAGCACCA